rnacentral:rRNA from 1 species
GAUGAACGCUGGCGGCGUGCCUAAUACAUGCAAGUCGAGCGAACAGAUGAGGAGCUUGCUCCUCUGACGUUAGCGGCGGACGGGUGAGUAACACGUGGAUAACCUACCUAUAAGACUGGGAUAACUUCGGGAAACCGGAGCUAAUACCGGAUAAUAUAUUGAACCGCAUGGUUCAAUAGUGAAAGACGGUUUUGCUGUCACUUAUAGAUGGAUCCGCGCCGCACUAGCUAGUUGGUAAGGUAACGGCUUACCAAGGCGACGAUGCGUAGCCGACCUGAGAGGGUGAUCGGCCACACUGGAACUGAGACACGGUCCAGACUCCUACGGGAGGCAGCAGUAGGGAAUCUUCCGCAAUGGGCGAAAGCCUGACGGAGCAACGCCGCGUGAGUGAUGAAGGUCUUCGGAUCGUAAAACUCUGUUAUUAGGGAAGAACAAAUGUGUAAGUAACUAUGCACGUCUUGACGGUACCUAAUCAGAAAGCCACGGCUAACUACGUG